rnacentral:tRNA from 1 species
GUCAGGAUGGCCGAGUGGUCUAAGGCGCCAGACUCAAUUUCUGGUCUUCGUGAGAGGGCGUGGGUUCAAAUCCCACUUCUGACA